rnacentral:rRNA from 1 species
UACGAAGGGGGCUAGCGUUGUUCGGAAUUACUGGGCGUAAAGCGCACGUAGGCGGACAUUUAAGUCAGGGGUGAAAUCCCAGAGCUCAACUCUGGAACUGCCUUUGAUACUGGGUGUCUUGAGUAUGGAAGAGGUGAGUGGAAUUCCGAGUGUAGAGGUGAAAUUCGUAGAUAUUCGGAGGAACACCAGUGGCGAAGGCGGCUCACUGGUCCAUUACUGACGCUGAGGCACGAAAGCGUGGGGAGCAAACAGG